AUAGUGUUUUUGGAAACCAAUAAUCAUUGCCCGUUCUUUGUACAAAACAAGAAACCUUUACAACAUUUAAAAGGGCUGGAUAAACCAUUAGGAAAAAAUAAGUAUGUGUUUUAGGAUAUCAAGGGAAGGGAGCACCAGAGAAAUUUGCCAGUGCUGGAUUUACCAUGGGCCAUAUGUUCGAGGUUUCAGGGUGCAAUGUACAGCAGCUCUUCUUUGGAUUGUGGUAGAACUGGAGAAGAUGACCCGUUUGAUAGGCCCCA